CCUACGGGUGGCAGCAGUGAGGAAUAUUGGUCAAUGGUCGGGAGACUGAACCAGCCAAGCCGCGUGAGGGAUGAAGGUACAGAGUAUCGUAAACCUCUUUUGUCAGGGAGCAAAGACUGGGACGCGUCCCCGGAUGGGUGUACCUGAAGAAAAAGCAUCGGCGAACUCCGUGCCAGCAACCGCGGUAAUACGGAGGAUUGGAGCGUUAUCCGGGUUUAUUGGGUUUAAAGGGUGCGCAGGCGGGCUGUUAAGUCAACGGGAAAAGCCCGGGGCUCAACCCCGGCCCGCCGUUGAAACUGGCAGUCUCGAGUGGGAGAGAAGUAUGCGGAAGGCGCGGUGUAGCGGUGAAAUGCAUAGAUAUCGCGCAGAACUCCGAGUGCGAAGGCAGCAUGCCGGCUCCAAACUGACGCUGAGGCACGAAAGCGUGGGUAUCGAACAGGAGUAGAUACCCUGGUAGUC
rnacentral:rRNA from 1 species